GGCUUUUGUUGGGUUGGAUGAGUGGCGAACGGGUGAGUAACACGUGAGUAACCUGCCCUCUUCUUUGGGAUAACGCCCGGAAACGGGUGCUAAUACUGGAUAUUCACUGGCCUUCGCAUGGGGGUUGGUGGAAAGGUUUGUUCUGGUGGGGGAUGGGCUCGCGGCCUAUCAGCUUGUUGGUGGGGUGAUGGCCUACCAAGGCUUUGACGGGUAGCCGGCCUGAGAGGGUGACCGGUCACAUUGGGACUGAGAUACGGCCCAGACUCCUACGGGAGGCAGCAGUGGGGAAUAUUGCACAAUGGGCGAAAGCCUGAUGCAGCGACGCCGCGUGAGGGAUGGAGGCCUUCGGGUUGUAAACCUCUUUCGCUCAUGGUCAAGCCGCAACUGUGGGUUGUGGUGAGGGUAGUGGGUAAAGAAGCGCCGGCUAACUACGUGCCAGCAGCCGCGGUAAUACGUAGGGCGCGAGCGUUGUCCGGAAUUAUUGGGCGUAAAGGGCUUGUAGGCGGUUGGUCGCGUCUGCCGUGAAAUUCUCUGGCUUAACUGGGGGCGUGCGGUGGGUACGGGCUGACUUGAGUGCGGUAGGGGAGACUGGAACUCCUGGUGUAGCGGUGGAAUGCGCAGAUAUCAGGAAGAACACCGGUGGCGAAGGCGGGUCUCUGGGCCGUUACUGACGCUGAGGAGCGAAAGCGUGGGGAGCGAACAGGAUUAGAUACCCUGGUAGUCCACGCUGUAAACGUUGGGCACUAGGUGUGGGGGCCACCCGUGGUUUCUGCGCCGUAGCUAACGCUU
rnacentral:rRNA from 1 species